ACAGCAUGCUCCCUGUCGUCUCCACUACGAAUGCUCCCUGUCCGUCUCCCUACAGAAUGCUCCCUGUCCUCCACUACAGAAUGCUCCCUGUCCGUCUCCACUACAGAAUGCUUCCCUGUCCCGUCUCCACACAGAUGCUCCCUGUCCGUCUCCACUACAGAAUGCUGCCUGUCCGUCUCCACUACAGAAUGCUGCCAUGUCCGCUACCCACUACAGAAUGCUGCCUGUCCCGUCUCCACUACAGAAUGCUCCCUGAUGCUCCCUGCCCGUCUCCACCACAGAAUGCUCCCUGCCCGUCUCCACUACAGAAUGCUGCCUGUCCAUCUCCACUUCUGAAUGCUGCCUGUCCGUCUCCACUACAGAAUGCUGCCUGUCCGUCUCCACUACAGAAUGCUGCCUGUCCGUCUCCACUACAGAAUGUCUCACAAGCACAACGGUGUUGUCCGUUUUGCUCUAUGACCCUCACAAGUGUCACUGGACUCGUCUGAAGUCUGUAACGCUGAUGUGACAACCUCUGUCUGUAGCGUCCGAAACGUUUGAGCUACAAACUAAUUUGACCCCACUAUGGAAAGAGAAGACUCUUACGAACUUACGAACACGAUGUAUAGGGGUAGAUUUGUGCUAAUAAAAGUAAGGGGUAAAAUAUGUGUAAGAAAUAUAUAUAUAUUUCCUGAGUUUUCCUAUACACUAUAUAUGCAAAAUAUGUGGACACCCCUUUAAAUAAGUGGAUUCGGCUAUUUCAGCCACUCCCGUUGCUGACAGGUGUAUAAAACCGAGCAGAGCCAUGCGAUCUCCAUAGACAAACAUUGGUAGUAGAAUGGCACCGUCAUAGGAUUCCACCUUUCCAACAAGUCAGUUUGUCAAAUGUCUGUCCUGCUAGAGCUGCCCCCGGUCAACUGUAAGUGCUGUUAUUGUGUAGUGGAAACGUUUAGGAGCAACGGCUCAGCCGUGAAGUGGUAGGCCACACAAGCUCACAGAACGGGACCUCCGAGUGCUGAAGUGCGUAGCGCGUAAAAAUCGUCUGUCAUCAGUCGCAACACUCACUACCGAGUUUCAAACUGUCAAGAACUGUUCGUUGGGAGCUUCAUGAAAUAGGUUACCAUGGUCAUUGGACUCUGGAGCAAUGUAAAUACGCUUUCUAAACUAAUGAAUCUUGCUUCACUAUCUGGCAGUCCGAAGGACAAAUCUGGCUUUGGCGGAUGCCAAGAGAACACUACCUGUCCCAAUGAAUAGUGCCAACUGUAAAGUUUGGUGGUGGAAGGGCUGUAGUGUAGAGUAGUGUAGUAGUUCCAGUGAAGGGAAAUCUUAACGCUACAACAUACAAUGACAUUCCAGACGAUUCUGUGCUUCCAACGUUGUGGCAACAGUUUGGGGAAGGCCCUUUCCUGUUUCAGCAGGACAAUGCCCCCAGUGCACAAAUCGAGGUCCAUACAGAAAUAGUUUGUCGAGAUCAGUGUGGAAGAACUUGACUGGCCUGCACAGAGCCCUGACCUCAACCCCACCGAACACCUUAGGGAUGAACUAGAACGCCGACUGCCAACCAGGCCUUAUCGCCCAACAUGCGUACCCGACCUCACUAAUGCUCUUAUGGCUGAAUGGAAGCAAGUCCCCACAGCAAUGUUCCAACAUCUAGUGGAAAGCCUUCCCAGAUGAGUGGAGGCUGUUAUAGCAGCAAUGUUCCAACAUCUAGUGGAAAACCUUCCCAGAAGAGUGUAGGCUGUAUUAGCAGCAAUGUUCCAACAUCUAGUGGAAAGCCUUCUCAGAAGAGUGGAGGCUGUUAUAGCAGCAAUGUAUAUUAAUUUAACCUUUAUUUAAUUAGGCAAGUCAGUUAAGAACAAAUUCUUAUUUACAAUGACGGCCUAAAGACGCUGGGCCAAUUGUGCACCGCCCUAUGGGACUCCCAAUCACGGCCGGAUGUGACACAGCCUGGAUUCGAACCAGGGAAUGUAGUGACGCCUCUAGCACUGAGAUGCAGAUGCCUUAGACCCGCUGUGCCACUCAGGAUCCCAAAAACAAAGGAGGGACCAAGUCCAUAUUAAUGAGAUGUUGGAGGAACAGGUGUCCACUCACUGUAGCUCUAGAUUAAACUCAGAGAUUUUGAUGGAGAUUCCAUAUUAAUGCCCAUGAUUUAGGAAUGAGAUGUUCAAUGAGCAGGUGUCCACACACUUUUGGUCAUGAAGUGUAUCUCCUACAAAUAGGACAGACUCUUCAAAACCUGUUUUACCAUGUAUGAAUGUGUUAUUCAAUGUGUUUCUAUGGGCUAUAGAAGUAAUGGCCAACUUCAAUAUUUUAUCAAAAAAUUCUAAAUAAAAUUUAAAUGGUUUUCCUAAAAUUCUAAAUCAAAUAACUACAUGAUCCAUGGAGUCAUCUUGCAACCAUCUUAAAACAAUUCCAUAGGUUAGCUUAGUACCCUGUACUUACAAAAUGUACAAAACACUGCUUGUUCUCCCAACUAUUGUAGCAAAAGUAUUUUGAGUAACUUUGGAAAAAUGUAAAGUUCUUAUUACAUCACAAUUUACUUUUUUGUAAAUUAAUAUACAGGUACUAAUACUACACAUCCAUUAGAAUAAGACUCAUGUUAUGAAAGGACCUGUACAGUUGAAGUCUGAAGUUUACAUACACUUAGGAUGGAGUCAUUAAAAUGCAUUUUUCAACCACUCUACAAAUUUCUUGUUAAUAAAACAAACUAUAGUUUUGGCAAGUCGGUUAGGACAUCUACUUUGUGCAUGACACAAGUCAUUUUUUCCAACAAUUGUUUACAGACAGAUUAUUUCACUUAUAAUUCACUGUGUCACAAUUCCAGUGGGUCAGAAGUUUACAUACACUGAGUUUACUGUGCCUUUAAACAGCGUCGAAAAGUCCAGAAAAUUAUGUCAUGGCUUUAGAAGCUUCUGAUAGGCUAAUUGACAUCAUUUGAGUCAAAAAAGGGGGAGGCUUGCAUUCCGAAGAACACCAUCCCAACAGUGAAGCACGGGGGUGGCAGCAUCAUGUUGUGGGGGUGCUUUGAAGCACACUGCAGAAUCCAGAUCAAACUCUGAUAUACAGGAAGCUCAGCUCUAUUGAGCUGGCUUAAAUAGAGGAAAGAGCCAGCAACAAACCCAGAAGCUACACAUGUAUAACUAACCAAAUGAUGGAAGACAAGCAAUGCCAUUUUGUAUUGUAUAAAGUGAGUGUGGAAGAGGUGAAUAAUUAUUGUUGUGUAUCAACAAUGACAAGCCGCCUGGGUCUGACAACUUGGACGGAAAAUUACAGAGGAUGAUAGUUGACCACAUUCCCACUCCUAUUUGCCAUUUCUUCAAUCUAAACCUACUAGAAUGUAUGUGCCCGUAGGGAAGGACAUUCAACAUGCACGGCACUGACACAAAUUACUGAUCAUUGGCUGAGAGAAAUUGAUAAUAAAACGAUUGUGGGGGCUCGUAGACUUCUGUGCGGCUUUUGACAUUAUCGAUCAUAGUCUGCUGCUGGAAAAACUUACAUGUUAUGGCUUUACACCCCCUGCUAUGAUGUGGAUAAAGAGUUAUCUGUCUAACAGAACACAGAAGGUGUUCUUUAAUGGAAGCCUCUCCAACAUAACCCAGAUAGAAUCAGGAAUUCCCCAGGGCAGCUGUCUAGGCCCCUUACUUUUUUUCAAUCAUUACUAACGUCAUGCCACUGGCUUUGAGUAAAGCCUGUGUGUCUAUGUAUGAGGAUGAAUCAACACUAUAGACGUCAGCUACCACAGCGACUGAAAUUACUUCAAGGGUUAACAAAAAGCUGCAGCUAGUUUCAGAAAAGGUGGAAAGGACUUAGUUAGUAGAAUGGGUGGCAAGGAAUAAUAAUAAUAAUUAACAAAGAGCUGCAGUUAUAUUUUUUUAAAGUUCUAAUGUUACUGUUCCCUCCAACUACAACAACAACAAAAAUACUGAAAUACAUGUUUGUCCUUAAAACAUUGAAUUGAAAUGCUGUAGAAUUCCUUUCAUUCCUUUGGAAGACUGUUCCUACUGGUGAGAGCCAAUAUGGCCGACCGGUAGCUUCAAAGCCUUUUGAUGGCCAACACAUAUCAUCAGCAAUUCAGGGUUUAUACUGUAUACAUCGUUGGCUGUAGUGUAAUUUAAUCAUUAUUAUGUUAAGUAUGUGUUUUUGGUUAAGUAUUUGAAUACCCUAAAUAAACUAUUGUUUUAGCAUUCACUUACUAAAUUAUAGAAAAAAGAUUACAAAGUUAUAUCUGCUGUCUUGAGCUCUCUCUCUCUCUCUCUCCCCCUCUCUACCUCUCUCUCCCCUCUCUCUCUCCCUCUCUCGCUUUCUCUCUCGCUCUCGCUCUCUCUAACUCUCUCCCUCCCUCUCUCUCGCUCUCUUUCUUUCUCUCUCUCUCUCUCUCUCCCCCCCCCCCUCUCUUUCUCUCUCGCUCUCUCUCUCCCCCCACCCCCCUCUGGCUCUGUUUCCGUAUCUGAGAGGGAGGAAUAACCAGCUGGUCCCACUACCCCUAUAUAUUACCAAGCACAACAUGCUUCAACAUCAAUGAAAGCUGAGGACGGGGAUGAUUGGCUGUCGAUCUCAGAUCUGAACAUAACCAAGAGCUGCUGUCCUCAACGCUAUUAGCUAUUACAUCGAACUGGGAGGUGGGAGCCCUUAUUCACUCAACCGAGAGAGACAGACAGAGAGACAGACAGACAGACAGAGCGGAACAACUUUGAUAGGAUAUCAACUUGUAACUGUUAAAUGAGCGGUGAAUGACACGCAGAGAGCGUGUCGCGCUAACCAGGAGCAGAGCGCACUAUCUUCUGUCGGUUACAACAUCCUGAUUCUUUCUAUUGUAAUAAUAUAUAGAAGUAUUUCUUUAUUCAUUUCAUUUCAUUCCCUUCUUUUCUUUAUUUCUUUAUUUCAAUGAGUGUCGAGUUUCUCAUGAGA
rnacentral:lncRNA from 1 species